rnacentral:piRNA from 1 species
UAGAAAAUUCUUUGAAAUCGAUGUUCCCA